rnacentral:misc_RNA from 1 species
AGCAGCCGCGGUAAUUCCAGCUCCAAUAGCGUAUAUUAAAGUUGUUGCAGUUAAAAAGCUCGUAGUUGAAUUUCGGGAUCAAUAUAUUGGUCAUGCUUAGGUAUGUACUGGUAUUAUUGAUUUCUCCCUUCUGAAGAACCAUGAUGUCAUUAAUUUGAUGUCGUGGGGAAUCAGGACUGUUACUUUGAAAAAAUUAGAGUGUUUAAAGCAGGCUUUCGCUUGAAUACAUUAGCAUGGAAUAAUGAAAUAGGACGUUUGAUUCUAUUUUGUUGGUUUCUAGGAUCGACGUAAUGAUUAAUAGGGAUAGUUGGGGGCAUUAGUAUUCAAUUGUCAGAGGUGAAAUUCUUGGAUUUAUUGAAGACUAACUACUGCGAAAGCAUUUGCCAAGGAUGUUUUCAUUAAUCAAGAACGAAAGUUAGGGGAUCGAAGACGAUCAGAUACCGUCGUAGUCUUAACCAUAAACUAUGCCGACUAGGGAUCGGAUGAUGUUAAUUUUUUUAAUGACUCAUUCGGCGCCUUA